GAUGAACGCUAGCGGCAGGCUUAACACAUGCAAGUCGAGGGGUAUAGUUCUUCGGAGCUAGAGACCGGCGCACGGGUGCGUAACGCGUAUGCAAUCUACCUUUUGCAGAGGGAUAGCCCAGAGAAAUUUGGAUUAAUACCUCAUGGUAUGUGAGAAUGGCAUCAUUUUCACAUUAAAGUCACAACGGCAAAAGAUGAGCAUGCGUCCCAUUAGCUAGUUGGUAAGGUAACGGCUUACCAAGGCAACGAUGGGUAGGGGUCCUGAGAGGGAGAUCCCCCAGACUGGUACUGAGAAACGGACCAGACUCCUACGGGAGGCAGCAGUGAGGAAUAUUGGACAAUGGGCGCAAGCCUGAUCCAGCCAUGCCGCGUGCAGGAUGACGGUCCUAUGGAUUGUAAACUGCUUUUGUACAGGAAGAAACACUGGUUCGUGAACCAGCUUGACGGUACUGUAAGAAUAAGGAUCGGCUAACUCCGUGCCAGCCGCCGCUGUAAAAC
rnacentral:rRNA from 1 species